GAUCAUAAAAUUUUUUAGAUCAAAUCUAUUUUUUUUAUCAUUUUAAAUCAAAAUAAUUUUGAUUAAACAAGAUUAGAUGUAACUAACCAUCUUCACAACUUGCAUUACAUACAAUAACACCUGAGGUUUCAAGAUCUGAGGUUUUGCAAGAAAGUAAGUUUUCUCAUUUCGCUUUCUUCUUUAUGGGACCUUAUAGUGGCACCCCUAC
rnacentral:lncRNA from 1 species